rnacentral:rRNA from 1 species
AUAAUGGGUCAGCGACUUAUAUUCUGUAGCAAGGUUAACCGAAUAGGGGAGCCGAAGGGAAACCGAGUCUUAACUGGGCGUUAAGUUGCAGGGUAUAGACCCGAAACCCGGUGAUCUAGCCAUGGGCAGGUUGAAGGUUGGGUAACACUAACUGGAGGACCGAACCGACUAAUGUUGAAAAAUUAGCGGAUGACUUGUGGCUGGGGGUGAAAGGCCAAUCAAACCGGGAGAUAGCUGGUUCUCCCCGAAAGCUAUUUAGGUAGCGCCUCGUGAAUUCAUCUCCGGGGGUAGAGCACUGUUUCGGCAAGGGGGUCAUCCCGACUUACCAACCCGAUGCAAACUGCGAAUACCGGAGAAUGUUAUCACGGGAGACACACGGCGGGUGCUAACGUCCGUCGUGAAGAGGGAAACAACCCAGACCGCCAGCUAAGGUCCCAAAGUCAUGGUUAAGUGGGAAACGAUGUGGGAAGGCCCAGACAGCCAGGAUGUUGGCUUAGAAGCAGCCAUCAUUUAAAGAAAGCGUAAUAGCUCACUGGUCGAGUCGGCCUGCGCGGAAGAUGUAACGGGGCUAAACCAUGCACCGAAGCUGCGGCAGCGACGCUUAUGCGUUGUUGGGUAGGGGAGCGUUCUGUAAGCCUGCGAAGGUGUGCUGUGAGGCAUGCUGGAGGUAUCAGAAGUGCGAAUGCUGACAUAAGUAACGAUAAAGCGGGUGAAAAGCCCGCUCGCCGGAAGACCAAGGGUUCCUGUCCAACGUUAAUCGGGGCAGGGUGAGUCGACCCCUAAGGCGAGGCCGAAAGGCGUAGUCGAUGGGAAACAGGUUAAUAUUCCUGUACUUGGUGUUACUGCGAA